rnacentral:lncRNA from 1 species
GCUCCUUCCAUAUAUUUGUGCUCAAGUCAAGUAUGCCAAUGUCUACAACUAUGACAAGAAGUGAUGGGGCACUAGGAUCUUGAACACUCAAAUCUUCAGGUUCUAAACAUUCACAAGGUACGUCUUGCAAAUGGCUUUUGGAUAUAGAAAUCCCCUGAAGAAUUUGAGUGAGCUCAUUCCAAUUGCUUAAAUCUUCAGGUUCUAAACAUUCACAAGGUACGUCUUGCAAAUGGCUUUUGGAUAUUGAAAUCCCCUGAAGAAUUUGAGUGAGCUCAUUCCAAUCAGAUGCUCCGCAAGUAUGCACCCCGUUUCUCUCUAACCACUGGGACAUUAUUUCUCUGCUCAUUCUGCCAUUG